CUCCUUUUUUCCUCCUUACUGGUCCGGCUGCUCUCAGUAAUAGCUUGGCCUGCUGCCAACGGAGGAUCACGUGGCCCAAGUUGUCCCCUUUGUAUAUGCAGCAAAGGGGCAGGUUGCUCCAACCGCUGUUAUGAGGUAAUACUGAAAGAUUAUGUCCACUAUGGUGUACCCAAGGGAGGAGAAAAUGGACAAGCUAAGCCAAGAAGAGAUUAUCUCCAACACUAAGUUGGUGAUGCAAGGGCUGGAGGCCCUUAAAAAUGAGCAUAACUCGAUCUUGCACAGCCUACUAGAGACUAUCAAGUGUCUGAAGAAGGAUGAAGAAGCCAAUCUAGUACACGAGAAAGCCAACCUGCUGCGCAAGUCAGUGGAGAUGAUUGAGUUAGGACUUGGAGAAGCUCAGGUCAUGAUGGCUCUGUCAAACCAUCUGAAUGCUGUGGAGUCUGAAAAGCAGAAAUUGCGGGCCCAGGUGCGGAGGCUAUGCCAGGAGAACCAGUGGCUACGAGAUGAACUAGCAAACACUCAGCAGAAAUUGCAGCGCAGUGAACAAACUGUGGCACAGCUUGAAGAAGAAAAAAAACACUUGGAAUUCAUGAACCAACUGAAGAAAUACGAUGAAGAUGUAUCCCCAACGGAGGAGAAGGAAGGUGAUUCCACAAAGGAUUCUUUGGAUGACUUGUUUCCAAAUGAGGAAGAGGAUCAGGGGCAAGGAUUGCCUCAUCAACACAGCAGUGCUGCAGCAGCUGCUCAGCAAGGUGGUUAUGAGAUCCCAGCACGCUUGCGUACACUACAUAAUCUGGUGAUCCAGUAUGCAUCACAGGGACGCUACGAGGUGGCUGUGCCUCUUUGCAAGCAGGCCCUGGAGGACUUGGAGAAGACUUCAGGACACGAUCACCCUGAUGUGGCCACCAUGCUCAACAUCUUGGCCUUAGUAUAUAGGGAUCAAAAUAAAUAUAAAGAAGCAGCUCACCUUCUAAAUGACGCAUUGUCUAUUAGAGAGAAAACUCUUGGUAAAGAUCACCCCGCAGUUGCUGCAACCCUAAAUAAUCUAGCCGUUCUGUAUGGCAAAAGAGGGAAAUACAAGGAGGCAGAACCAUUAUGCAAGCGGGCACUGGAAAUCCGGGAAAAGGUUCUAGGCAAAGAUCACCCAGAUGUGGCCAAACAGUUAAAUAACUUGGCUUUACUAUGCCAGAAUCAGGGCAAGUAUGAAGAAGUAGAAUAUUACUAUCGCCGAGCACUGGAGAUCUACGAAUCCCGCCUAGGGCCUGAUGAUCCAAAUGUUGCUAAAACAAAGAACAAUCUGGCCUCCUGCUACCUAAAACAAGCUAAAUACAAGGAUGCUGAGACCCUGUACAAGGAAAUUCUCACCCGUGCCCAUGUGAAAGAAUUCGGCACAGUUGAUGAUGAACACAAGCCUAUAUGGAUGCAUGCAGAAGAAAGGGAGAAAAUGAGCAAGAGUAAACAUGGAGAAAACAUCCCCUAUGCAGAGUAUGGUGGCUGGUACAAGGCCUGCAAGGUCAGCAGCCCUACAGUGAACACCACUCUGCGGAACCUGGGGGCGUUAUACAGGCGUCAGGGCAAACUGGAGGCUGCAGAAACUUUAGAAGAGUGUGCACUGCGUUCUAGGAGACAGGGUAUUGACCCCAUUAACCAGACUAAAGUGGUGGAAAUUCUCAAAGAGGGCGAUGGCUCUGAGCGGAGGAGGAGCCGAGACAGCCUGGGGGGCAGCAUCAAAUAUGAGAAUACCACAGAUGGUAAUGAGGAAGCUUAAAUGCCUCCUGAGACUUCUCCCCCCUCCCUUCCAACACAAUCAUCUGGAUGCUUGUGCAGCUUCUUUCGACUUUUUCUUCCAAAUCAUUCCCCUCCUUCCACUGUUCCUGCUUUCCUCGUCAAGGACUCCACACCCGUCCCAAACCAACCUUCCAUCCAAAGUGAGCACCAAGGAACACAGCAGAAGAAUAUUCAACUGGCUGCACACAGCUCUACUACAGCGCCAAUCAGCAAGAGAACAGGAAGAAACUCUACAAGAUGGCCUCUUCCCAUUUCCUUUGUCUGCCAGAACAGGACUUUUCCAGGAUUCCCUGUGGCUUCCUUUGUCCUCUUUCCUGUACCUUAACCAGGGGGGAAGAGGUUGAUGUUUGAGAGUGACCUUGUUCCCUGCUGUGGGGACACUACAUUCACAUUUGCCCAUCUUCCUAUAACUUGCCUUCCCAUUUUGCUGCCUUCAUUUGAACAGUAUGCCCCUUCCUGGUCUUUCACGCUGCUUCCCUUUUCUUCCUCUUGCUUCCAUGGCACCAAGUACAGAAUUAAGAGACAGAAACAAAACACCCUAAUAUCUUUUCCCCCCAGUCCCAUUUUUAAAUUGUAGAUAAGGAUAAAUGGGCUGAAUAAAUCAUGCUCUUAAUUGAUGGCAAAAUGGUUUGAAUGCCCACUGCUGCUAUUGUACAAACCUUAAGCAGUAUUUAAGUCCAGAGACCCAUAAAGAAAGAUACAGAAACAGUUCAUCUGUAUUCUCUAGUAUCUGAGGCCCUUUAGCUUCAGGAUGUAAAAGGAUUAGAGACAAAAGCUUGAGCUGUGCCUUCUCUUGAAAAUCUUGCUUUCACAGAAAUGAAAAUAGGAUAAACAAAGGCAUUAGAAAUGGAAAGACAAAAACAGCAGAAGGUGGCAUUCAGAGCACUAACAUUAAGUCUUUGACUGAUUAAUCCCAGUCUGCACUUGCUUUGCCUGUUACACUUCAGAAUGCUAGCAACGAGAAAAUGCUUCUCUAAUAUCACAAGCUUGGGAAUAUUUUUUCUCCCUCAGUUCCUUUCUCAUAGAAGGAAUAGCAAUUGAAGAAAAAGAUGACCAGACUGUCACUUUUUCCUUACUGUUCUUCCCAUAGAGCAAGAGGGGUGGGAUAGUUGAUGGAGUUUCAACUCCAAAUUUAUUCUCAUUAAUGUAAAUUUUUUAACAAUGCAUUGCAUGUGUGGUCCCAGCCAAAUGCCACAAAGCAAGCACAUGUCAUAGAUUGGUGUGUUAAAUGGUAAUGUAGCACUAUAGCUGCUGCUUAUUUAGAAGCAUGUAGAGUGAGCAGAAAAGAAAGUAGGAAUUUGCACGUCUUGUAAGAGAAUGAUGAAGCAAGGAGUCUUGCAUGCAAGAACAAGGAGCAGAGACAAUAGAAGGCAGAAGUUUUAAAGUGGGAGUAGGUUGGCCCACUGAGAUUGAACUCUGGAGGAAUUUUACAGACCAAGAAAGGCUCUAAUAGAAAUGGAUUUUCAGUCGAUAGUGCCUGUUUGUGUUUUCUUAUAAAUAAAUCCAGCUUCAUUUAAUUGUUUGCCCCAGAUCUCUGGGAUUACCACCCUGGUAGAAGUUGUCUUUGGAUGAGCACGUUGCCAUAGAGUGAUCUAAGACAGGGGUUCUGGGCAGGGGGAAAAAGGCUGAUUCCCUCAGGAAUUAGGCUGUAUUUUUAUAGGGUGAGGAUAUGACUCCAAAAUACAAACAGGAUGCAUUGACCUAAAAUUGACCUAAAAGAGAGAAAAAACCUGAUGAUAUUCCAAUUUGAACAAAGUAGUGACAUGUUCUAUAUAGCAAAAUAGGAAAGCAACCAUUUUAGAGAUCUGGGGAUAUAUCGAAAGAAAUCUUCUCUUUCACCCAGAAAAAACUGGAUGUUAAGAUUUUUAGGCUAUGAAUCUAGUUUCUAAAAUAGUGAAUGUCUUUAUUAUUUGCAUUGGUGCUAAAUAUGUGUGUGUGUGGGGAGGUCAUUUCUGAGGGAUAGCCUGAUGCUUUAAUCCAUCUCCAGGGCAAGCAUAUGUGAGGGAAGAUUUUAUUUUCAGCCUAUCUGCUGAUCAUAACGGUAGUUUUAGGCUGUGUGCAUGUGAUGGGGGAGGGGGUUAAUGUAGAUUAAUAUCUUUGUGAAUACAGCUGGUUUCUGAAAGUAAGAAAAGAUUAGCUGAGUUUACAAAUUAGGCUAGGCAUUAGAUAAGAGACAUUUUUUGAAGCCGAGUGCUGGAAAAUGGAACUGAAUAAUAAAAGUAUGGCAUGAUGAUUUUGUGUGGCUUUUUGAAGUACCCAUGCCUGCCUCCUGCUGGAGGAGCAACAAACCAGACCAUUCAUUCAACCCAGGAGGGUUGUACUCAGGUGGUUUUGCCACAGGGCAAUUUGAAAUAUUUUUUAUGCAACUCCUUUGGGAAGUUUUGUGGAGCUGUGAUGAAACCUUUGCUUUUGGCUACGUCCUUCAGAAAAGAAUGUUCAAGUAUACCUGAAUCAGGGCAGCUUCUCUCUUACCCUUCGGCUGAGUUGGGCAAUAUUUAUGAUCUGUUACUAAAAAUCCUCCCCUACUUUCAUUGGCUGUUAUGACUCUGCCUUGCCCAAGAAAGAAAGGUCUCUGAUGAUCCAAUGAAGAAGCCUCUGGAGGUGAACCCACAUGCUGCUCUUGCAUCUUCCUCAUAAAAUGCGACCAGCUCUCUCAUUCCCGCUCAACUUUCUGUGUUGCAAUGGCCUAUUUGCAAUUCUUUUUAUCGCAGUCUAGGAGGGGCUGGAAUUCUGUGUUCUAUUCUCUGCCCUUGAGACCUACAUGGUACUUUCUUUGUCGCUGUGAACUCAUUUACCUCUGAUUAAAGGCAGAAGGACUUGAACCUUUGCUUCUUUGUGCCUCUUUUCCAUAUGCUGUCUUUGUUUUUUUAAAACCAAUUGAUUUUCAUCAAACACAAACAUUUACAUUACUAUACACCACAAAUCAUCUGGGUGUUUUCCUUUUUUGUACACUAGAAGAUCAGAAAACAGGUGUGCAUGUGUGUUUGUAUUUAAAAUAGGAAUCCUCUGUGCGACAAUGGCACAGAAAGUUGAACCUCCCUUAAAAGAGAGACAUUGCUUAUAUAGAGUAGCUUAGAAUUCAAUAACUUUCUAAACUGAAAGGAAACACAGAAAGUUUAAAAAGAUGUGUUUUUUGAAAGCUGUAUCUGUGAAGGAUGUUUUUAGGGUCUGAGAUUGUAGUCCUCUAGGAGAAAAUGCUGCUAAACAGCCCUUCAAGAGACAAUAACAUAAAUCACAUCCAUCUUGCCUUCCUAAAGUCCAGAUAUGUUGGACUUUUGAGUUCCCAGAUACUUAGGUAAUUGUGAUUCUGCUUGCUACGGCUUGUGGAAGUUUAAACCCAAUACAUUUGGAGGCUAUCAGAAUCAGGAAGUUGAUUGUAUUGUAUCCCCAAACUUCUUGUUCUGCUUCUUCCCACAGCAAACCAAAUCCUAGCAAUAAUGCAUAGGCUAAUGUUUAUUUUCUCCUAGCUGUGUAAUUAAAAUACAUUUAUAAUUGGGAAAUUACAUAAAAAUACAACUGUACACCUAACUUUUAUAAUUAAGAGAUUUGUAUGUAAAAGCCAGAUACAACUUUUUCUUGCAUAAUGUCUAAUUCCUUCUAAAAUGUAAAAUGCAGUUUUCUAUACACCUGAGAAGUGUAACGGUCAAGUUAAACACAAGUGGUGGAAAACUAGAGCAAGUAGAGGAACUUUUACACUUAUAAUUGUUAUUAAGGUGGGAAAAUAAGUGGAGAAAUUUUAAGACAUAUAAAUAUAUUUAGAAGAAUAGUAGAUAAUGUGUAAUCUGUUUCAAGGAAUGAAAGUUUGCUGAAAGGAGCAAAAACAAUUGUGUAUAACAAUGUGCUUCUGCCCACUUCAUUAUGUGGAAGUGACUUAGGUAUGCUGGGGAAACCUAUGACGAUAGUGGAAAUAGCUGUAAAAGAUUUCUGGUGAAAAACAAGAAAAGCUUCAGUCAAUGAAUGUGAAGGCAACUGGAUUCCCUUUCUCAACAGCGAGUAGCCAGUAUGAAAAUAGUAUGUUGAGAUGGUUCAGUGGUUCAUGUGGAGAAUGAGUAUUGAAUCACAAAUCAAAUAUAGGAAGGAAGUGGGCCAAGCAAAGGGGUAGUCCAAGGAAUUAAUGAUUGUAUGGACUUGUUAAUUUUUUUAAACACCACCGAGUUCCAGAAUGAUUCCGAGAUCCUAAAAAAGAGAGAGGUGAGAAUGUUAUUGAAUAGAAGGCACUGCAGGAAUUGGUUAUUUAUGUGAUGGAAGGAAGGAUAGUUUGCAAGGAUAGAACAGUAUGGAAAAGCAUACUGGAUGCUGGUUGUAUAAACAAAUUUGAUUUUUUUCAUUUUCUAAUUUUUUUCCUUUGGCAUCCUAUUUCUUACUCCUUUCCUGCAAUCUACAUGACAUUUCUUACUCUAAAAGGAAUAGUGCAACUGGUUUGUAUGAUCUAUAUAUGUAUGCAUAGUCUUAUUUAUUAAAUGGUAACUAUAGCAGUCACCAGUAAAACUAAUAUAACUGUGUUAAGGUUGGUUGUAGGAGUCUGUUGAAAUAAAUUUCAAGCAAUCAUCUAAUUGUUUGAGUGAAAUUUUAAGCAUUUAUCUAAUAGUAUCAAGCAAAGAAAGGAAUUUAUCGAACGUUGUUAGUCACUUAACUGAGCUUUCUUUGGUGUGGUUUCUUCAUGGAGUAUACUGUUAUAAUCACUAUUAUAUUUGGCAAUUUUGAUUGAGGAUUUGGGAUAUGUAGUAACACAUCUGAAGAAUACAAAGUUGGGAAGAUUGUCCCUGAAUUACAGGUAGUCCUCAACUUACAAUAGUUCAUUUAGUGAUCGUUCAAAGUUACAACAGCAAAAAACUGAAAAAAGUGACAUGACCAUUUUUCACAGGUACAACCUUUAUAGCAUCCCCAUGAUCAUGUGAUCAAAAUUCAGAUGCUUGGCAACUGGUUCAUACUUAUGACCGUUGCUGUGUCUCAAGAGCAUGUGAUCAUUUUUUGCAACUUUUUGACAAAAAAGCCAGAUUCACUUAACAACUGGGUUACUAACUUAACAACUGCAAUGAUUCAUUUAACAACCGUGGCAAGAACAGUUGUAAAACGGGGCAAAAAUCACGUAACAAAUGCUCACUUAACAACAGAAAUUGUGGGCUCAAUUGUGGUCAUAAAUCGAGGACUACCUGUAUUUUGUGUGACCCGACCACUUUUAAUCAAUUAGUGUUUUAGAACUGAUCUACAGUUCUAUAUUUAGGAAUAUAAUAGCUAUACAACAAUAGGUUGCCUUUACAUCUAUGAUCACUUUAGACAGAUCACUGCAGUUCCUAAAAUAUGAUUCAAAAACACAUUUGUAUUUUUUUUAUUGAAAAAGUUUUUACAAAAAUUUUCACCCCCCUUUUCCCCCCUCCAUCCCCUCCCCCCUCCCUCCAAAACCACCCCUUUCCCUCCCCCCCCCCCCGCCCUGACUUCCCAGAACAAACACAAGGUAUAGUUCAAAAGAAAAAACAAUCAUUCGCUAAAUUUUCCCUAACACAAAUUAUAAUCCUCCCCUUCUUCUCAAAUCCUAACUUCUCCCAUACAAAUCAAAGAUAAAUACAUCCUAAUCAUUCAAAAGCAAUCUGAUAUCUCUUAAUCUGAUAUCUAUUUUGCUUAUAUUCAAUCCAUUUUUUCCAUUCAGUUAGAUAUUUUUCUUGUGUAGUGUCUUUCAAAAAGGCUGAGAUUUUAGGCAUCUCAGCCAAAUUAGCAACUUUCAAUAUCCAUUCUUCUAUUGUAGGUAACUCUUUUUUCUUCCAGUAUUGUCCUAUCAGUAGUCUUGCCGCUGUUAUUAAAUUUAAAAUCAAUUUAGACACAUUUGUAUUUUUAUCAAGCAAUACAUAUCACUUACCUAAGGUCACAUAUGUAAUUUUUGUAUGAUGAUUAGUGUUGGAAACAAGCUGACAACAUCAAUACAUAGAUGCUAUUUUCCAUGAGCGCUUUCUUCAGUCUUAUAUCAAAACAAGUAGCUUCCCUGUGAAAGCUACACCUAGGUUAAUUUUAUUAAGAGAGUGGGAAAGGCUUCAGACGUCUCUUAAUUCUGAAUAAAGCAUUUGUCCCAUGCAGUAAAGUACCUCGCUUUUUCCUUGAGAGUCCUACUUGCCAAAAUGUUUAUGUCUAGAUAUGUACAAAUUGUAUUGUCAUUCUGAUAUAUUAAGAAUACCAUCUAUUUCAACUGCAGAGGAUGAAAUCAGUCCAAAUAAAAAGGAAUUCUAAUUUUUUUGUCAUGCAACAAAUAUCUCCUGUAGCCUUUCAUUAUCUGGUCCAUUUGAUUAGUCUUUUUUUUUUAAGGGUUCAAGUAAGUUUUUCACUCCUGGUGACUAUAUGGGCUUGUCAAGAUUUUUGACAAUGGUUUGCCUCCUUCCUAGACAGAAAGAGACUGGCCCAAAAUCACCCAGCUGCCUUUGUGCCUAAGGCAGAACUAGAACUCACAAUCUCCUGGUACAUAGCCUGGUGCCUUAACCACUAUACGAAAUUGGCUGUCUAUAUCUGUAUGCAUACAGCAGCAAAAAGAAAAAAAUAUUCCAUGGCCGGUAAAAAGGUAAAAGAUACCCUAAAAAUGAACCUUGAUUCACAGGGCUCAUAUGAAUACAUUUUUGUGUAGAACUCAUUUUCUUAGCAUCUUUUUCCCCCCUCUACAAUGCUCCUUUGCAUUCCAAAAAAUGGAGAACAUUUAGAAAAUAGUAUUUUGACACUAGAGUCAUUAAAAGCUAUACAGUACUCAGGCUAUGUUCCAUAAGGUUACUGCUCAUCUCUGUAGAAUAUGGGUGCCAAACUCGAUGGUUUCACAUGACGUAUCGUGAUGUAUCACAUUUUUUGCCUUUGCGGAGCCGGGGUGGGCGUGGCCUGCGCAUGAUGCAUCUGGCCCACGGGCCACCAGUUUUGACACCCCCUCCCGUAGAACAUUUUCCCAAAUAUUGUAGAAUAUUUCUACAAUAGAAAUAUUAACUCAAUACAUUAAUUCAACAGAAACAAACCAUUAUUUUCAGAAGAAAAGGAUUUUCCCAACUCCAAUUUUUGUUUCACACAUCACACGUCUGGGAUAUAAAAAUAUAAUAACAUAUUUUUAAGAGAUGCAUAGUUGAUGUAAAAUACUGAAACUGCUAAAAAUGUGGAAAUUUAUUUGUACAAUUUACAUAGCCUCCCAUUGCACAUGGCUCUGGGUGGCAUACAAAAAAUAUUUGAAUCCUUCCAAUGCAUUAAAAUGUUGAGGAAUAAAGAUCUCAUCUACACCAUGCAGCUUAGCUAUGAUUAAUUAUACAGCUACGUUGUUGCUUCAUCAAAGUAUCAACAUUUAGUCAGGAAGAGUUAUUUUGUAUUGAAUGUAUUUGGUAGCAUAUAAACUGGAUGGAAUAUCUGUGAAGAUCUUUUUUUCAUGUAAACACCUCUCCAAGCACAAACUGGAUAACUGAUAUUUGUUAAUAGAAUAGAAUAGAAUACAAUUUUUAUUGGCCAAGUGUGAUUGGACACACAAGGAAUUUGUCUUGGUGCAGAUGCUCUCAGUGUACAUAAGUGGCAUGUGCUGCAAAAGCUCAAGUAAUGGGGUGCCUUUUUAAAUGAAACAACACAGAUGAAAUAGAUCAUACUGUCUUUGUGAAUUCUGUGGCCAAGUUUAUACACUGUGCUAAACCUUGGUUGACUGAAUAAACCAUAGACAAGGACUGGGUUCACAUAGACAUAUGUGAGACUAGCCAAUUUCAUCUCUCUCGGGAGCUUCUGAUUUGAAUGGGUAACUGCACCGGAUUUGUUUAAGCCUAUUUACAGCUGCUGUAAUUCCAACAGGAUCCAACAUGAGCCUGGCAACUAGGAUCCAUUAGUGUAUAUUCCUACCAGAACAGCAGUCAUUUGUAAUUUGGUGUUUUUCCCACAUUCUGGACUAUUAGAAUAAUCAUAUGUUGGAACAGUGUAUCAAAUUCAAGUAUUCUGGGCAAUAAUUACCACAUGAGAGCCAGUCUAGUCUAACGGUUAAAGCACUAGGAUAGAAAGCAGGAAACUGAAUUCUAGUCCUGCCUUAGGCAUGAAAGCCACCUGGGUGACUUUGGACCAGUGUCUCUCAGCCCAACUCACCUCACAGAGCUGUUGUGGGGAAAAGAAGAGAAGGAGUAUUAGUUACGUUUUACCACCUUGAGUUACUUAUAAACUUAGCAAAGGUGGGAUAAAAAAACCCUUAAAGAAUAGAUUAUUACUGAUGCCCCAUCAUCCCCAUGUAAGCCUACCAGAGUCCAAAUGGCCUUCACAUUGAAAUUGCCCCCAGCUGCUUAGAUGUAUUAAUUCUUGCAUUGUAUACUGCUAAGCACAUAUUGAUCACGGGGAAUUGCUGGCCUUUUAGAUGUUGAACUACAACUCAGCAUUCCUUAUGCUUGACCCAUAGCAUAGUAAGCCAUGGGCAUGAGUUCUAGAAUCUAAGAACUCAAAAAAGAUUAUGUGAAACCAAUGAUCUCUUACAUUAAUCUAUAUAAUAUAGCAUAAUUCUCCAAAGUUUCAGCUAAUGACUAUGAAUUUGUUUUUCCAGUACUGAGAACACAAGAGUUUAAAAAGUUAAUUGUAAAAAAAUAGUGGCCUGAGUCUAUCUCCAGCUCAUAGCCUUCUGUAUAAUCAAGACAAACACCAAGAACAGGACUGAUGUGGCAUGUUUACUUUUUAAAAUUCAAAAAGAGAAAAACCUGUUUUAGAAGCAUUUAGCUUCCCCUGAUAUUCUGGAAGGAGAUAGCGUAUACUGAAGAAUCUCUUCAUUCUGAACAGAGAUUUUUAUUUUGAGAAGUUUUACUAUUUUCACUUCAGGAGUUGGAAGAUGUGGUUGAUUUAGCUGAAUAAAGGUGCAAUAUUAGAAUUAAAGAAAACAAGUUGUCUUCACAAUACAGAAGUGGACUGUCUUAUGGGGCUGAUGGGUACACAGCAUUUUGAAAGCAAAUUCAAAUCCUUUGAAUUUGAGUUUUCACAAAAUAUGUCUGCCGUAAAUAUCUAUCUAGAAAAAGCUAGCAGAUGUGCUCUCCUUCUCUCUUAUCUUGUCCUCCAUGCUUCUUAUCACAUAGUUUACAUUGUAUUUUUGUCUGAAGUGGACUCAUGCAUACUGUGAUUUAUUUAUUUUUUGACUAUCCUGAAAAAAAUUAUCUAUAUAUGUUCAGCGGCAUUCUUGGAAAUAAAGUUGAAGCUGAAAACCCAUGUUUUGCAUCUUUUAACUCUUGUAAUUUUAAUUAAAAAUCAAAUGGGACCAGUAACCACAUAGACAUGAAGAAAUCCAUACACUGUACAUAUUGGUAUUCACAGAAAUGAGAUUGCUGCUCACUCUUGACGUAAGGUGUAAGGAAUCUUUUGGGAAGGAAUAGAAACUUCAUCUUCUAUCAGUUGGAAAUCUAAUUACUAGAACUAAAAAUCUAGAAUACUUCCUGUCUUUUCCACUACAAGAUAAAUGUUCAACCUUCAUGAAACCACAGAGAAAAAGUCAAACACAAUGCAUAGUAUAUGGUAUAGAAAAGUAACAUAAAAGUAUUGUGUAGGAUGUAGAAAAGUAAUAUAAAGUGAAAACUACGUUGGAACUGACAAAAUCUAAUCUCGCAUCCUAUUUCUUAACAUUCCUGGUUAUCUAAUACUAAGAAAGAUUUGGGGCAUAAGCCCAACAGUUUCCUCCUGAUGGUGUUCCCCAGCAACUAAUGCUGCCCAAUGAUUGCAAUAUACAACAUAAUGACUCAUAGCCAUUGACUGCCUUAUUCUCUGUUCUGGUAAAUCCCUUUGAAAACCACUUAUGAUAGCAUAUUUUUUUUGUAUGAAAUGUUGAAAGAUUUUGUAUCAACCAUUAGAUGCUAGCAAAAUAAACUAAUAAUUGAAAUAGUUUUUUAAAUAACUUAGAGCAGAUAAGAACUUUUCAGAUUUCUUUUUCUUUUUAAAUUAAAUUCUCACAGUAGUAGUUGUGAUGAUGAGAAGAUUACAGAGACCUAGUCCAAAAGAUGCUUUUUCAGGAGGCAACUGGAUUUUUUUUUUAAUUUGAAUUUAUAUCUCGCCCUUCUCCGAAGACUCAGGGCGGCUUACACUGUAUUAAGCAAUAGACUUCAUCCAUUUGUAUAUUAUAUACAAAGUCAACUUUAUUGCCCCCAACAAUCUGGGUCUUCAUUUUACCUACCUUAUAAAGGAUGGAAGGCUGAGUCAACCUUGGGCCUGUUGGGACUUGAACUUGCAGUAAUUGCAAGCAGCUGUGUUAAUAACAGACAGACUUAAUCUGCUGAGCCACCAGAGGCCCUGUUUUUGUUUUUCUUUGAAGACAUUUUGCUUCUCAUCCAAGCCAACAGCCUGCGCCUGUCUUCAACAGAGAAGGGACACAGGGCAGGAAACUUUCUGCAGCCAAGAAGGCUCCACACCCAUUUGCACUACUCAUGUGUCCCUGAGGACAUAGAUAAACCUCCAAGAGGCCUCAAUGACUCUUUAAAAGAAUGCAAAUGACCAGCUGUCUGCAAGGAAUAUAAAUUCUUUCAUUCCCCACUAUCCAGUCAGAGCUGAAGAAGCUUCUUGGAUGAGAAGAUGAAAUGUCUUCAAAGAAAAAGCAGAAGUCCAGUUGCCUCCUGAAAAAGCACAUUUGUGACAACCAUCACCUGGAUAACUGAGAAUCUCCACCGACUUAGAGACCUAGAUUACACCUGUUUGAUUUCAGUUAAAACUUGCUGGCUAUAGCAUCUCACUAUGAAUCUGGGUGCUUGAAAAUCAUAUAUUUCUGGAGAGGGAUACAGAUCUCUUAUAGCCUUAAAUUUUUGUGACCUGGUUUUUACUUUCCGAAAACUCUCACAUACACAUACAUAUAUAAACAUAAAUUUCUUUACUGACCUUAAAGCUAUCUCCAUUUCCCCUUCCCCCAGGAUAUAUUUAUAUUAAUAGAAGCAUAUAAACACAUCACUCCCCUAUAGAUGUAUGCAGGAGGAAGGUCUCUUUAAAAGAACAUACCAGUAUUAUGUGGUAUGCAAAUCUGAAGACCACAUUAACCAUCCAGUAGAGUCAAAGUAGAAAAUCUUUUGCUAAUUGUAUUUCAGGUUAUUGGAAGAUUGUCCUCAAAAGUAAGAAAACAGUAAAUCCAACACAAAGAAAAAAGCAGGAGAAAAACAGGGUUGCACACUUUCUCCAUUGGUUUUAAGUGGAGGGACUUUUUAUGGGGAAGCACUGCAAAGGGCAUUUCCUACUUAAACAUCUGGUAUAAUCAUGCUUUACAGUGUAUAAACUCAUUUAGAGUUUAAUAAAAACUGAGGUGUAUACCUGUAUUUGUUUGGUAGGAUUGCUUCCUUUUUUUUUUAAGGCAAAACUAUCAGUAUAUUGCUAGUACUACAGUCUAACUUGGAAUUCUAUACUCUAGAAUAUGAAGGCUUCAUCCACCAUCUCUUGUCAUAUUUUUAUCUUCCUUUCCAGGAUGGUACUGGGGCUCUUCAACGCACUGGUUCGCUAGGAAAGAUUCGAGAUGUGCUGAGAAGAAGCAGUGAAAUUCUGGUCAAGAAACUUCAAGGGAAUGGCCCAUUAGACCCACGUAGUACUAACAUGAAACGAGCUGUUUCGUUGAA